GGGGCUGAACGGUUUCGACUUCGCGCAUCGAAUCAAGGGAAGCGUGCCGGUGCAGGCAAGAGACCACCGUAAGCGUCGUUGCGACCAAAUAAGCGCCGAUUCACAUCAGCGCGACUACGCUCUCGCUGCCUAAGCGACGGCUAGUCUGUCAGACCGGGAACGCCCUCGGCCCGGACCCUGGCAUCAGCUAGAGGGAUCCACCGAUGAGUCCGGUCGCGGGACUCCUCGGGACAACCACAGCGACUGGGAUCGUCAUCUCGGCUAGUUCGCGUGACCGGGAGAUCCGAGCAGAGGCAUAGCGAACUGCGCACGGAGAAGCCUUGAGGGAAUGCCGUAGGACCCGGGUUCGAUUCCCGGCAGCUCCACCA
rnacentral:tmRNA from 85 species